rnacentral:rRNA from 1 species
AUGUGUAAGUGUAAAUGUACUAGUUUGGAACUGCGAAUGGCUCAUUAUAUCAGUUAUAGUUUAUUUGGUGAAGUGUACUACUUGGAUAACCGUAGUAAUUCUAGGGCUAAUACAUGAGAAAGUCCUCUGGUGAGGUGUGUUUAUUAGAAUGAAAACCAUAUGCUUCGGCAUGAUAGUGAGUAAUAGUAACCUAUCGUAUCGCAUGCUUAAUGUAGCGAUGAGUCUUUCAAGUUUCUGCCCUAUCAGCUUUCGAUGGUAGUAUAUGGGCCUACCAUGGCAGUAACG